rnacentral:rRNA from 1 species
UGGGGAAUAUUGGACAAUGGGGGAAACCCUGAUCCAGCAAUGCCGCGUGAGUGAUGAAGGCCUUCGGGUUGUAAAGCUCUUUCGCCCACGACGAUGGUGACGGUAGUGGGAGAAGAAGCCCCGGCUAACUUCGUGCCAGCAGCCGCGGUAAUACGAAGGGGGCGAGCGUUGUUCGGAGUUACUGGGCGUAAAGGGCGCGUAGGCGGCCCUCCAAGUCGGGUGUGAAAGCCCACGGCUCAACCGUGGAAUUGCACUCGAGACUGGGGAGCUUGAGGAUGGGAGAGGAUGGUGGAAUUCCCAGUGUAGAGGUGAAAUUCGUAGAUAUUGGGAAGAACACCGGUGGCGAAGGCGGCCAUCUGGACCAUUUCUGACGCUGAGGCGCGGAAGCGUGGGGAGCAAAC